UCUUUCCCUUCCCUACCCAAAUUCUCUGAACACAGUGAAAAGCACAUUAUUUCUUAAACGCCCCACCCCCACCCCAAUUUACCUUUCGGCCUCUGUUGAGUGAUCUUUUGGUGCUUUCAACGCAGUCCUCCCACCCAUGCCAGGGACAGCUCAACAUCUGGCACCCGUCUCUCCCCACCGCUAUUGACAGCCAUUGAUAUGACACAGGUGUGAAUUCUGUUAUUUGUGUAGUGAUAAAGAAGAGAAGGAGGUCGAAAGCGCAGAGACAGGAGGCAGCUGUCGGCCUUGCUGUUUUUUGUUUUUUUUAAGUUUUUUUUUUAAUACAAUCUCUCCAGGUGCUCAGCCAAGGUCACGGGCAAGCAGCAACACCACGUGAGCCUGGGCCACAUGCUGAUGCAACACUUUUGGUGCAGGCGCAGAGAGGAAUUAGUCUUAGAAACUUUUUAUGGUGAAUAUUACAGUCCCUCUAGGGUUUUACGAUGACAGAAAUUAACACAAAAUCAAGGAAACAAUUUUUCAAAAUCUGAGUUUCCACAGAUUCUGGCGUCAUCACAACACGCAGUCAGUCAAAGCCCUCUUCGAUUCACGUGCGUCGGACAUGAGUACAGCUGAAAGCUCCAGGGUGUCAGCUGCUAGUGAUGGUAACAAGGGAAACAGAGCCAACACGAGGACACUAAAAGGGCAAACCAGUUGAUACCCCUGCAGCCGUGCUGAGUUACAGAGAAGCUUGGCCGGCCACAAGUCCUCCACCCUGUCAUACGAGACGGGCGACAGAUGCCAUGGUCUCCAGCAAGUUGCAGAAAAAAGGCUGCCUAAGCAGCUAUACCAUGUGCCAACUUGAGCUUGAGAGAAAUGCCAAAGCUCUAUGCUGAGGCAGACACUACUGCUAUUUGCUGGCUUAAUGUAACAGUAAGC
ensembl:lncRNA